UUAUAUUAAUAUUUAAAUCGGCCAAUAAAAAUAAAAUUCUAAAACCAAAGAACUUGGCAGUGCUUUAUAAAAUCAGGGGAGCCUGUUUCUUAAUAUGAUAAUCCACAAAUAUCUUACCAUACCUUGAAAUUAUCAGUCUGUAUACUACCGUAAAGUUUAAAUUAAAAAUCUAAACAAUAGAUAAUAAUAAAUUACAUUUCUUAAUAUAAAAACAGGCCAAAGUGCAACUAAUAGUAUGCGUGAAAAUGGGCUACAUUUAUUUAAAUAAACACAAAAUUAACAUAACUAUAGAACUUGACAGUAAUAAAAUUUUACUAUAAAUUUAUCAACUAUCUAUAAUACAUGCACAUAUCGCCCGUCACUUUCGUUGAAAAAUG
rnacentral:rRNA from 1 species